rnacentral:lncRNA from 1 species
AUUUAAGAUUUGGUUAGGAUUUGAUUUAGGAUUAGAAUUUGAUUAAGAUUUGGUUUAAGAUUUAGAGUUUGGUUAGGGUUUGAUUUAGAAUUAGGAUUUGAUUAGGAUUUGAUUAAGAUUUGGUUUAGGAUUUAGGAUUUGAUUUAGGAUUUAAGAUUUGAUUUAGGGUUUAAGAUUUGAUUAGGAUUUGAUUUAGGAUUUAGGAUUUGGUUAGGAUUUGAUUUAGUAUCACAAACAUAGAAAUACAGGCUCGAGGUCUAACAAGAAGUUCAAGAAGAACUAGCAAGAAGUAGAUUAAUCAGAUGAAUACAAGAACAACACCAGAGAGGUGAGCUAGAGCUCCAAGACAUGUGUUGUCGAGACUGAAGAACUCUUCAACCUCGAUUCUAAUAUAUAUUCCUAUUUAGGAAGCUUUUCAAGCAACUUCUACCAAUUAGGAAGCUUCUAGAAGGUUCCAGAGACUUGCUUCUAGAAGGUUCUAGAAACUUGUCUCUAGAAGGUUCUAAGGACUAUGUCCCUAACAUCACCCUUUCCUUUAGCUUCGAGGUCUUUGAGAAGCAAUGUUGUUGUUAAUCAGUACCAACGCAAGAAAAUGAAGAUCUGUCGUAUAACGUCUGCUAUGAACUCUAAUUGUUGUUCAUGAGGUAAGUGAUUCAUCGAUCCUUGAAGCCAACUGUAGUGGCCAAUGCCUUCGACUUCUGACCAAGUAUGAACUUCCGUGUCUUCAUUGUAAAAUUGUCCUACAAACACGCCUUUUGGCUGACCAUCGUAAGUAGGCUCGAACUCAAAUACAAUCACCAGUGAUCGGUUACUUUGUAUCCUUCGUCGUUGUCAUGGUGUAGGCGGUUCUUCAUCUCGGGGUCGCCUUCGUGAGCUAGUUGGUUGAGAUAAUCUGACUGACAUAGUAUCUAUCUUUUGGCUAUCCAUAUCAGAAGACCAAACUAUGGCUACUGAAAAAAUUCUAUUUUAUCUUGGAGAAAAUAACUACAUCAACUACGAAUUUUGGUGGUACUCUCCCCCUUUCUUAUAUUCUUGGAUUAGCAAGCUUCAGAAGGAAGCUAUUGUUGAACCAACUUAGGUUUAUGAGGAUGUUGUUGAUGAAACUCCUGUAUCUUUUGCGACGCAUUGGCGAGAUUUUUAGGUGGCUCCUACGUUUGCUCAUUAAUGUCGUAGCUUCACCAAUGAAUAAGAUACUCCAACUUAUCCCAUCUUCGCUAAAAAUCCAGCACCUUUUCAACCUCAAAUUCCUCGUGGUUCUCAAUCUGAAUACUAGGUGGGGGACAUUGCACUCUCCCAAGAAAAGACGACCCUCGAUAAGGCUCCAACAAAAAAACAUGAAAGAUUGGAUGUACCUUCAUAGAAGCCGGUAAUUCCAGACGGUACGCCACUGGAUUGAUUUGCUUUUGGAUGAUAAAUGGUCCCAAUCUUCGAUAGUCCAACUUAUCACAUGGUCGCUUGGUCUUGAUAUUCCAUCGAAGAAGCCAUGCUUUAUCUCCAAUUUUGAAAGUAGGUGCUUGAUUCUGAAAUCUAUCUGCAGAUGCCUUGUAGGAUUCUUGAGCGGAUUGUAAUUGAAGCUUCAACGUAUUUUGAAGCUCUGAUAGUUGUUUUACAAAUCCUUCAACUGCUAGAUUGUUAUUUGUUGAUGGACUUAAUAAAUCAAGCUUCAGAUGAUACCUAUAGUUGGAAAAGAAUGGUUUGUAUUGAGUCGAUGCAUGGAGGGUGUUGUUAUAUGCAAACUCGACUAGCGAUAGAUAUGCGGUCCAAUUAUCUUGCUGAUAGUUGAUGCUGCAUCGUAAGUAUUGUUCCAAGACUUAAUUCACCCGUUCCGUUUGGCCGUCAGUUUGAAGAUGAAAAGCUGAAGAAAGUUUGAUAUCCACCUUCAGUAUCUCAAAGAAAGAUCUCUAAAACUUUGAUACAAACUGAGUUCAUCGAUCUGAUAUGAUAUCAUCUGAUAGUCCAUGAUAUCGAUACACAUUAUCGAGAAAGAGCCUUGCUGUGACUUCACUGGACGAUGUCUUCUUGCAAGGAACAAAGUGUGCCAUCUUUGUAAGUCGAUCUACCACGACAAAGUUGCUAUCAAAUGAGUUCGAUGAUGGCAGGUUCAUGGUGAAGUCCAUAGAAACUGAAGACCAUGGUCGACGUGGAAACGGCAAUGGUUGUAGAAGUCUAUAAGAGUGAUGCUGAGGAUUCUUAGAUCUUGAAUAGAUGUCGCAGGAGAGGAUACAAUCUUUCACAUCCUUCCACAUUUAGAGCCACCAAAAAUCUCGAGAAAUAAGCUCCAAAGUCUUGUUGAAUCCAAAAUAUCCCGCAACUGGAAAAUUGUGGUGAGAUUGAAGAACUCGGAGUCGUGCUGGUCCUUUUGGAAUAUACAACCACUCCUCAAAGUAUAAAAAGAUCUCCCUCCACCUUGAACUUAUCAUCAUUGGCACGCUGCUUGAUAUCAAUGGCUACUGAAUCUUCAAUGGUCACGGGACGUACCUGAUUCAGGAAGUCAGCAUCAAUUGAUACAGUAGUAGCGCAAAGCCAAAAUUACUCUGGCUUCAAUAACAUCGUACAUUGUUGAUCAAACACUGCUUCUCUAGCCUUUGGUACAAGAUACGAUCUCUUCAAUAAGGCAUCAGAUAGACCUUACUGCUUUCCAAGUCGAUAAGUGAUAACAAAAUCGAACCUAGAUAGCGACAUACUCCACCGAGCUUGACGUCAAUUUAGAACUCGAGUCGACAUGAAAUACUCCAAAUUCUUGUGAUCUAUGUAUAUGGUGUCGUAUUACGUGUUGUCUUGUUCGGGAAUACACUGGGUAUCUGGCUGUGGAAGGUAUAGUUGUUUUUGCAAAUAACAAAGAAACCCUAAUAGAUUUUAUCCAUGUAUGAAGAAUAUAAUUGAAAUAUCAAUUUCCAAGUAUUUAAAAACACUCCUCAUAGUCAUUUUAACCAUACAAUAUUCCAAUUGCUUUAUUUCUUUUAUAAUUAAGUUGUUUUUGUUUUUCUUAACAAGCCCUAAUCCUAGCCAAUGAGCUUUGACAAGCUGUAACUUUUGAUCCAACCGUCCACUUAGUGUGAAAUUUUGCAUCUAAAUACCAGUAUAAGCCUUCUAUAUGCUCAGAAAAUUUCAGUCCAACCCAACUUACAGAUUGCAAGAAAACGCCCAAAAAACCGCACUGAUGACACUCGGCCGCAACCUUGAAAUUUGAUGUAGAAACUCCAGAAGUGAUUUCUCCUUUGUCAACCGUUAACUCUAGCUCAAAAUUGAAUAGCCGCUUGAUCUCCAAAUCUUCUAUUAUCAAGCCAAAAAUUACGUCGAUCCAACUAAUAGAUCUUCAGAUAUCACAGAAAUCCUAUCCAACCCUAGACUGCCAACUUCUGACAACCCUUUGUACUAAAACCCAGAUAUCUCUUGAUUGCAUCGUUAGAUUAAUACAAAUUUUUGUAUACACUUAGCACACCCAACUAUCCAGACAAUAUCAAAUUUUGAUCUAUAGAUGCUACACGACUUGCACAAACCGAUUGAUAAUGCAAACCAUCAAUGUUUUAUAUAAAAUCCGAAACACCAAAAUAAACACUGACUUUGAGCAGCGAUUGCUCUCCCCUCACAAAUCCUAAUGAAACCAAACUAGUGACCUUGAAAAGAGCUUGAAGCUAGCUCUUCGAUCCAAAAAACCCGAUCUAAAAUUCCUCCCCCCCUCAUUUCUUAACCUUCUUCCCCUUUAACCUUAAUCCUCCCCUCUUUCAAACCCUAGCCUCUGAUUUUCUUCAAUCUUCCAUCUUGGAUCCGGAAUUGGCUCCUUCCGUCUUAGAUCCAGAAUUGGCUCCUUCCGUCUUGGAUCCGAAAUUGGCUCCUUUUGUCUUGGAUCCAAAAUUGGCUCUCGCCGUCAGAGCUUUCUCCUCCGUUUUUACCUUUAAAAGAUCCUUUUACCAAAAACAACGUUCCCUGAAACGGCACAGAGAACAGGACAGUCUGAAACAGAAUCGAAACCCCGUAAUCGGGACCACAUUGAGUCGCCCGACCAAUUCAGGUCUCAUAUCGGCUAAGAGUCUAGUAGUAAGACCCGGAUGUUCCCGUAAUUGGAUCAAAUUGGUCCUUCGCGUCAGAUUGGCUGAGGCCCGUAGUAAGACCUAGAUUUUCCCGUAAUUAGACUGCAUUGGGUUGCCCGACCAAUUCAGGUCUCAUAUUGGGUAAGAGGACCCGGAUUGGAUUCUUGAAAUUGGAUCCAAUUGGCUCUUCGAACCAGGCUCACCUGUCGUGUGAAUUGGUCCUUUUCCUUCCUGCUGACUCCCGUUAUUGGAAUAGAACGGAGCAUUUCAGUAUGCCCCGGCUAACUGUAAUGGGGUGAUUGAACCUAGCCUCUUAGUAUUUGCACUGGAAUUGGUCGUUGCUCCCAAUAUUCGAGGUAAUUAAACAUUAAUACAAGUCUUCUUUCUUUAUAUUUUCACAGUAUACUCGUGUUACAACAUGACAAAGGUCAUUGGGUGUACAGCUCCUUCAAGAAAGUGAUGCUAUUCUUAGAAAGAAUCCACUAUAGCAAGAAGUUCCUUAUCGUAGAUCUCAUAAUUGAUUUCAGCAGCAGAGAACUUUCGAGAAUAGAAUGGAACCGGAUGGAGCUUCUUGUCUUCUCUCAUUUCUGAAAGUACGACUCUCAAAGGAAAAUCCGAAGCAUUAGUUUCUAAAUAAAAGAUCUUUGUAAAGUCUGGAUGUACGAAGAUUGGAGCUGUAGUAAAUACCGUCUUGAGGUCUUGAAACGCCUUCUCCGCUAGAGGUCCCCAUUCCAGCUUAUCCUUGCAUGUCAACUGAGUGAGAGGAGCAGCAACUUGAGAGUAAUUCUUGAUGAAGAUCUGAUAGAAGUUAGCAAAACUAAGAAAGCAUUGUACGUCUCUAACCGUCUUUGGAACCUCCCAUGACACGAUUGCUUCCACUUUCUUGGAAUCCAUCUUCAAGCCUUCCGUAGAUGCAAUGAACUCCAAAAACUCAAUCUCCAUUUGGUGAAAUAAACAUUUCUCUAACUUGGUAUAUAGUCCUCGCUUGCGUAGUUUCUUCAAGAUCAAAUGAACGUGCUUUUCAUGCUCUUCCUCAUUUUUGGAGAAUAUCAAAAUAUCAUCCAAGUAGAUGACAACUAAAUCGUCAAGGUGCUCCUGAAAAAUGUCAUUCAUCAUAUAUUAAAAGAUCGCUGGAGCAUUGGUAAGACCAAAGGGCAUGACAUUAUACUCAAAAUAACCAUACCUUGUACAAAAUGUUGUCUUCCACUCAUCUCCUUCCUUGAUUCGUACGAGGUUGUAAGCUCUCCUUAGAUCAAUUUUUGUAAAGAUCCUUGCACGUCCAAGUUGUUCUAAGAGAUCAGAAUUCAAGGGUAACGGGUAACGAUUCUUCUUUGUUACCUUGUUGAGGCCUCGAUAGUCCACGUACAUCCGAAACGAGCCAUCUUUCUUCUUCACAAAUAAAAUGGGUGCUCCAGCUGACGAUUUUGAAUUAUGGAUGAAGUUCUUGGCUAGAUUCUUGUCAAUGUACUUCCGCAACUCUGCCAAUCCGUUUGCGAUAGAUUGUAGAUUGGGCCAAAAGGUAGUUGUGUUCCUUCUUGCAAGUCUAUGGCGCAAUCAUAUGGUCGGUGUUCUGGUAGCAUGUCGGCAUUCUUCUUUUGAAACACGUCUUUAAAAUCCUUAUAUUGUUCAAAUAUACUUGUUGUCGAGAUCUUCUCCUUGGUAGUUGGAGCUGCAUAAAUGACAAACGGUGUGCCUUCCUUGGACAAUCUUAUAAACGCUCUUGCUCCAAUGAAUAAGGAUUUCUCUAUUCGGGGUUUUUUACUAGGCUUGCUCUUGGAUGGUUUUGUGGGAAAGGUCAUCUUCGGCAACCUCCAAUGUAUGGAUGGAUUAUGCUUUUCCAAUCAAGAAAGACCAAGAAUAACAAGAUUUGGUGGGAUUUUAAUAAUAUUGAAAAUAAUAUGACUACUAUGGCCCUUAAACGUCACUUCUAUAGGUUCUGAUUCAUGAGUGACACUACUAUACAAUAAAGGUCGCCCAUCUAUGACCUCAACGUGAACAAGUUUGGAUUUUUGUACUAAAGGGAUCUUUUGACGCUUUGCAAAUCCUUCAUCUAAGAAAUAAGCACAUGCUCUUGAAUCUAAUAAUGCUAAGGUUCUUAGUUUCUGAGGGCCAAUAAACAAAGGGAUUGUAAAGCAAAGGGCAGGUUGAGCAGAAAGAAAAGAACCUAGUUGUUGUUGCGAUAUUUCAUUGUCUAGCCGCACGGUUCCUAUUGUGGCUGGGCAUCCUCGUUUUCCUGAACAAACGCACCCCUGGUCUUGACAGUGCAUUGAUUUUGCUUCUUGGGACAGUUUCUAACUUCGUGGCCUUCAUCACCGCAAUACAAGCAUAGACCUUCCUCCAUAUAGUACUUUUUUUCUUCUAGAGUAGAGGAUUUGACACGUACCGCAUCAAUUUGCAUAUCUUCUACCUUUGAAUAUGAAUUCACACUGCUUGCCGUCAUAGUUGGGGUGUGGCGAAUCAUAUGUUGUCUUGAACGUUGAUCUUGGCGACGUUGAAAUAAGUGAUUAUUGCACUUCACAGCUUGGCUAAUAGCUUUAUUGAGCAUUUGUGGAUCAGAAAGAGUUAACAGCAAAUCCUUCACAUCGUCCCUUAAACCCCAAUAGAAUUGACUCAUCAAUGCUUCUUCAUCCCAAUUGAUGUCGCAUGCUAAUUGCCUGAAAUCUGAUGCAUAGACUGAUGUAGAAUGCAUCCCUUGUCGUAGUGAUCGGAUCUUUGUUAUAGCCCAUCGAACCUUGUCAUGUUUACCAAAUGCUUUCGUAAAUGCCUCUAAAAAGGUUUCAAAGUUGUUUAGUAUGGACGAUCAUUUCUCAAACAAAGGAGCAAACCAUGAUAGAACUUGUCUUGUAAGUAAGGUUCCAACAAGCCCAAUACGUGACUCUUCCAUUGGAUAGCGUUCGGGCUAUAAAACUGUUAUCAACCUGAUUUGGUUGACGAAUCCUUGAAACUUGAAACGCGUACUAUUGAACUUGUCCGGAAGGCUAAUUCGAGACUCCUUAUGUUGUAGAACUAGCGGUGCUUGCCAAACCUGAGUCAAAGUUGCUUCUCCAAGUGCAGAACUUUGAGGCUGUUGCAACCUAGAUUGUGCCAUCCCAAAUGCUCCAUCAUUAUGAAGCCUUGCCACGAUUCCUUCAAUCUCUGCAGUUCUUUGCAAUAACAUAGUGAAGGCAUUCAUGAUAGCAUCCAACUUGGACUCCAAACUUUCCGUCAUACUAAUGUCUUAGCCUCCGGCCAUUCUAAGAGAAGGACAGAAAUGACUCUGCAAGAAGACAAUAUUGGUUUAGAGGAGGAUACUCCGCAACCUCUAAAAUGCCUUAAGAGCUUCAAGAAAAGGGAUAAUCCAUUCUCUCCAAGAAGAAUAAGAUUCCAAUAUUGUAACAAAAGAAGUAUCAGUUUAGAAGACGGUAGUCUGAAACCUCUAAAAUGCUAGUACACUUCCAAGCAGAGGAGUAAUCCACACUCUAACGAGGAAGAAAUUAGCUCUGAUAUCUGAGGUGAGUGAAGUCUUGACAAACUGUCAUGGACACAAAAAUAUAGGCUCAAGAUCUAACAAGAAGUUCAAGAAGAA